UACGGAGGACGCGAGCGUUAUCCGGAUUUAUUGGGUUUAAAGGGUGCGUAGGCGGGCUUUUAAGUCAGCGGUAAAAAUUCGGGGCUCAACCCCGUCCGGCCGUUGAAACUGGGGGCCUUGAGUGGGCGAGAAGAAGGCGGAAUGCGUGGUGUAGCGGUGAAAUGCAUAGAUAUCACGCAGAACCCCGAUUGCGAAGGCAGCCUUCCGGCGCCCUACUGACGCUGAGGCACGAAAGUGCGGGGAUCGAACAGG
rnacentral:rRNA from 1 species